rnacentral:lncRNA from 1 species
GCUGGGACUGGAGAUGACCGCCCGGACUCCUGUGCUCGGGUUGCUUCACUACGCAGGGCGUCCGCGUUUGAGCAACAAGAUUUUUCAUGGUCAACUCUCAUGUUCAGAAGCUCUGAGGACGGGAGUAAGGACGAUUAUGCAAAUAAGCUAGUGCCCCCGCCUCCCGCAACACAACCUCGGUGUUCCCAGGCCCUCUGAGCUGAGCGGCUCUAACUGGACCCCGGGGCGCCCGCAGCCGGCGCCUGGUUUAGGGAACGCGCAGCUGCAGCCCCGCGAGCUCCAACGUGGGCAGGGCAGCCGACCCAAAAUACGCGCUCUGCAGCCGGCCCCGCCGCUGCCUUUUUUAGCUUGUUUGCGGCCAGGCUGACUCACACAGCUAAGACAGCAAAAUGUACCUGAGGUGACGCCUGGCGGUAUUCAAAUAUCCCUAGUUUCUUUUCUAUUUUUUCUCUCCUCUCCAUCACCUCUGCCAACUUACGCCUCCUGCCCCGGGGCCGCCUUGGCCAUGGCCUGUCCUGCCAUUGGUUCUCGGCGGUGAGGGAGUUGCGGGCUCCGACCUUGUCAAGGUGACUCCCCAAGUUCCUGCAUUUUCUGAGUGACGUGCAUUCACAUGAGGUCUGCAAUGUUGUCUCUCCUAUCAAGAUGUGCAACAGUCACACAUACACACACCCUUCGCUGAGUUUCAUUUUGCUGGCUUCGGAAGUCAUUUGAAUUGGAAGAGUUUUCUUUGUGAAACCGGAAGGCUUCACUGGGGGCUUAAGAAGAGAGGAGGAGAAGAGGACGAGCUCACCCUGGCACAAUCCAUCUGUACUACUCCAGUCACUGUAUCUUCUGCCUUUCAUAAAAGCAACUGUACCUCUGAGAUAAAGCAGUCUUCACGGAUAGCUUACAAAUGGGCAAAUCACUAUCUACCGUGAGUAUUCUCCAAAGGGUCAAUGUUGCAUGUAGCUCUGACGAAGAGAGGAAAAUUCUAUGUGCGG